rnacentral:rRNA from 1 species
AUGGCUCAGGAUGAACGCUAGCGACAGGCUAACACAUGCAAGUCGAGGGGCAGCACGGGAGUAGCAAUACAACUGGUGGCGACCGGCGCACGGGUGAGUAACGCGUAUGCAACCUACCUAUCAGAGGGGAAUAACUCGGCGAAAGUCGGACUAAUACCGCAUAAAACAGGGGCACCGCAUGAUGAUAUUUGUUAAAGAAAUUCGCUGAUAGAUGGGCAUGCGUUCCAUUAGGUAGUUGGUGAGGUAACGGCUCACCAAGCCGACGAUGAAUAGGGAACUGAGAGGUUGGUCCCCCACACUGGUACUGAGACACGGACCAGACUCCUACGGGAGGCAGCAGUGAGGAAUAUUGGUCAAUGGGCGGGAGCCUGAACCAGCCAAGUCGCCGUGAAGGAAGAAGGAUCUAUGGUUCGUAAACUUCUUUUGCAGGGGAAUAAAGUGCAGGACGUGUCCUGUUUUGUAUGUACCCUGAGAAUAAGGAUCGGCUAACUCCGUGCCAGCAGCGGC